rnacentral:rRNA from 1 species
CAGCCGCCGCGGUAAUACGUAGGGUGCAAGCGUUAAUCGGAAUUACUGGGCGUAAAGCGUGCGCAGGCGGCCCGUUAAGACAGGUGUGAAAUCCCUGGGCUCAACCUAGGAAUUGCGCUUGUGACUGGCGGGCUCGAGUACGGUAGAGGGGGGUGGAAUUCCUGGUGUAGCAGUGAAAUGCGUAGAGAUCAGGAGGAACACCGAUGGCGAAGGCAGCCCCCUGGGCCUGUACUGACGCUCAUGCACGAAAGCGUGGGGAGCAAACAGGAUUAGAUACCCUGGUAGUCCACGCCCUAAACGAUGGGUACUAGCCGUUUGGUGCGCGAUAGCGCUGAGUGGCGAAGCUAACGCGUGAAGUACCCCGCCUGGGGAGUACGGCCGCAAGGUUGAAACUUAAAGGAAUUGGCGGG